rnacentral:rRNA from 1 species
UACGUAGGAGGCAAGCGUUGUCCGGAAUCACUGGGCGUAAAGGGCGCGUAGGCGGCUCAUGAAGGCUGUGGUGAAAGUCCGGGGCUCAACCUCGGAUCGGCCGUGGCGACUCGUGGGCUGGAGCACUGUAGAGGCGGGUGGAAUUCCGGGUGUAGCGGUGGAAUGCGUAGAGAUCCGGAAGAACACCAGUGGCGAAGGCGGCCCGCUGGGCAGUGGCUGACGCUGAGGCGCGACAGCGUGGGGAGCAAACAGG